rnacentral:rRNA from 1 species
CCUACGGGUGGCUGCAGUGGGGAAUCUUGCACAAUGGGGGAAACCCUGAUGCAGCGACGCCGCGUGAGCGAUGAAGCCCUUCGGGGUGUAAAGCUCUUUCGGCAGGAACGAUAAUGACGGUACCUGAAGAAGAAGCUGCGGCUAACUACGUGCCAGCAGCCGCGGUAAUACGUAGGCAGCAAGCGUUGUUCGGAGUUACUGGGCGUAAAGAGUGUGUAGGCGGUUUCGUAAGUUUGGUGUGAAAUCUCCCGGCUUAACUGGGAGGGUGCGCCGAAUACUGCGAGGCUCGAGUGCCGGAGAGGUAAGCGGAAUUCCUGGUGUAGCGGUGAAAUGCGUAGAUAUCAGGAGGAACACCGGUGGUGUAGACGGCUUACUGGACGGCCACUGACGCUGAGACACGAAAGCGUGGGUAGCAAACAGGAUUAGAUACCCCGGUAGUC